AUUAAUGGCGCAGCUUUUUGAGCAAGCGUCUCGGAAGAGUGGCGAGGGCUUGGCGGGCGAAUGAGGUGAUAAAAGCAACCCCCCGAGAAACGGGUCUCCCGGUUUUUUAUCGAGCUGCACCUCGCUUGAGGAACGGGCGACGUUUGAGUCCUGCCAUGGAUAUCAAGGCAGUGUUUGUGUUUGCCCUGUCGGCAGUACUGGCAGACGUCGCACAUGGCGUGUGUCGGCGACCCCCGAUCUGCAGUGGGCCCUGUCAGCUCGGUCUGUCGCUCCCUGGAUAUUGCGGAAUCUGUGUGUGCGAUACGCAGUGCCCCAUCUGUCCUUCUCGGUGCUACUACCGAAGAGCAGGAAGGUGUCCUGCCUGCGCACCGGCUAGCAUGUGCUACAAGUAGAGACGUCGUCGGAGUUGUGAGACUGAGAACUCAAUAAAAUGAUCCCUUGUCUGUGUU